ensembl:snRNA U2 U2 spliceosomal RNA
AUCACUUCUCAGCCUUUUGGCUAAGAUUAAGUGUAGUAUCUGUUCGUAUCAGUUUAAUAUCUGAUACAUCCUCUAUCCAAGGACUAAAAAAAACCACCAAAAUAUUUGCAAAUGAAUAGCUUCU